CAUUAUUGAACGAAACUUCUGGCUGGAUGCUGUUGUUGCUGGCCCUUUUGGGCAAUGUGCACGCCCUCUGGUCAUUUGUUUCUUCUGUUCCACCUGUGCACUGCCUGUAGACACACUGUGUCUAUGAUAUUGAUUACACACACAAUGUUAUGCAUAUUGGUUGGCAUAUUAUGUAUAUAUAAAUACAACUUUCAACAAUGGAUCUCUUGGCUCUCGCAUCGAUGAAGAACACAGCGAAAUGUGAUAAGUAAUGUGAAUUGCAGAAUCCAGUGAAUCAUCGAAUCUUUGAACGCAUCUUGCGCUCCUUGGCAUUCUGAGGAGCAUGCCUGUUUGAGUGUCAUUAAAUUAUCAAAACACUUUUUCUUAAAAGAAGUGUUUUGGACUUUGGGAGUAUUGUGCUGGUCUGUUUGAGCCAGCUCUCCUCAAAAGCAUUAGCUUUGGAGACCAUCAGUGUGAUAAUUUGUUUACACUGGCUUCUCCUUUUAAAUGCCCCAUUUGACCUCAAAUCAGGUAGGACUACCCGCUGAACUUAAGCAUAUAUAGGCGGGGAGAAGAAAAACUUUUUUGCUAUCUGUCGGGUUAUGCACUACUAACCAAACGGCUGUUUUCUCACACAUACAUGUCAAUCUACCCGCAGAUCAGGGGUAUCCCGCUGUACAUAAGCAUAC
rnacentral:rRNA from 1 species